CGCCAUGGCGGGGCCGUACGGGGAGACCUUCGGGUCUGCCGGAUGCUGAGUAGCCGGUUCGCCAACCCCGUGCGGUUCCGCCUCCAUA
rnacentral:antisense_RNA from 1 species